rnacentral:rRNA from 1 species
UACGGGGGGGGCAAGCGUUGUUCGGAAUUACUGGGCGUAAAGGGCUCGUAGGUGGCCAACUAAGUCAGACGUGAAAUCCCUCGGCUUAACCGGGGAACUGCGUCUGAUACUGGAUGGCUUGAGGUUGGGAGAGGGAUGCGGAAUUCCAGGUGUAGCGGUGAAAUGCGCAGAUAUCAGGAGGAACACCGGUGGCGAAGGCGGGUCUCUGGGCCGGAACUGACGCUAAGGAGCGAAAGCGUGGGGAGCGAACAGG